UACAGAGGUCCCAAGCGUUGUUCGGAUUCAUUGGGCGUAAAGGGUGCGUAGGCGGCGCGGUAAGUCGGGUGUGAAAUCUCGGAGCUUAACUCCGAAACUGCAUUCGAUACUGCCGUGCUUGAGGACUGGAGAGGAGACUGGAAUUUACGGUGUAGCGGUGAAAUGCGUAGAUAUUCGCAAGAACACCAGUGGCGAAGGCGGCUUACUGGUCCGGUUCUGACGCUGAGGCGCGAAAGCCAGGGGAGCGAACGGG
rnacentral:rRNA from 1 species